rnacentral:rRNA from 1 species
GACGUAGGGCGCAAGCGUUGUCCGGAUUUAUUGGGCGUAAAGAGCUCGUAGGCGGCUUGUUGCGUCGUCCGUGAAAACCCGCGGCUCAACCGCGGGCUUGCGGACGAUACGGGCAGGCUGGAGUUCGGUAGGGGAGACUGGAAUUCCUGGUGUAGCGGUGAAAUGCGCAGAUAUCAGGAGGAACACCGGUGGCGAAGGCGGGUCUCUGGGCCGAUACUGACGCUGAGGAGCGAAAGCGUGGGGAGCGAACAGG